UACGGAGGGAGCUAGCGUUGUUCGGAAUUACUGGGCGUAAAGCGCGCGUAGGCGGCUACUCAAGUCAGAGGUGAAAGCCCGGGGCUCAACCCCGGAACUGCCUUUGAAACUAGGUGGCUGGAAUCUUGGAGAGGUCAGUGGGAUUCCGAGUGUAGAGGUGAAAUUCGUAGAGAUUCGGAAGAACACCAGUGGCGAAGGCGACUGACUGGACAAGUAUUGACGAUGAGGUGCGAAAGAGUGGGGAGCAAACAGG
rnacentral:rRNA from 1 species